rnacentral:rRNA from 1 species
GAAUUUUGGGCAAUGGGGGCAACCCUGAUCCAGCCAUCCCGCGUGUGCGAUGAAGGCCUUCGGGUUGUAAAGCACUUUUGGCAGGGAAGAAAAGGCUCUGGCUAAUACCUGGCGCUCCUGACGGUACCUGCCGAAUAAGCACCGGCCACCUACGUGCCAGCAGCCGCGGUAAUACGUAGGGUGCAAGCGUUAAGCGGAAUGACUGGGGGUAAAGCGUGCGCAGGCGGUGCGGAAAGAAGGAUGUGAAAUCCCAGGGCUUAACCUUGGAACUGCAUUCUUAACUGCCGGGCUAGAGUAUGUCAGAGGGGGGUAGAAUUCCGCGUGUAGCAGUGAAAUGCGUAGAGAUGCGGAGGAAUACCGAUGGCGAAGGCAGCCCCCUGGGAUAAUACUGACGCUCAUGCACGAAAGCGUGGGGAGCAAAC